rnacentral:rRNA from 1 species
GUGCAGCCGCCGCGGUAAUACCGGCAGCCCGAGUGGUGGCCGAUAUUAUUGGGCCUAAAGCGUCCGUAGCUGGCCGAACAAGUCCGUCGGGAAAUCCACGUGCUUAACACGUGGGCGACCGGCGGAAACUGUUCGGCUUGGGGCCGGAGGACCCGAGGGGUACGUCCGGGGUAGGAGUGAAAUCCUGUAAUCCCGCACGGACCACCGAUGGCGAAAGCACCUCGAGAAGACGGCUCCGACGGUGAGGGACGAAAGCCAGGGUCUCGAACCGGAUUAGAUACCCGGGUAGUCC